GGCAAGAUGGCCGAGUUGGUCCAAGGCGUAUGGUUCAGGCUCACCUGAUCCAAGUUUCCAUAUCUCGUUUACGGGGCGUGGGUUCGAAUCCCACUCUUGUCA
rfam:Penicillium decumbens strain IBT 11843 PENDEC_contig002, whole genome shotgun sequence.